CUGUUCUCAUAUGAUCACCGAAGUUAAGCAACAUUGAGCCUGGUUAGUACCCAGAUAGGUGACCGCUUGGGAAUACUAGAUGCUGCAAG